ACUCCUGCGGGAGGCAGCAGUGGGGAAUAUUGCACAAUGGGCGCAAGCCUGAUGCAGCCAUGCCGCGUGUAUGAAGAAGGCCUUCGGGUUGUAAAGUACUUUCAGCGGGGAGGAAGGCAAUACGGUUAAUAACCGUGUUGAUUGACGUUACCCGCAGAAGAAGCACCGGCUAACUCCGUGCCAGCAGCCGCGGUAAUACGGAGGGUGCAAGCGUUAAUCGGAAUUACUGGGCGUAAAGCGCACGCAGGCGGUCUGUCAGGUCGGAUGUGAAAUCCCCGGGCUCAACCUGGGAACUGCAUUCGAAACUGGCAGGCUUGAGUCUUGUAGAGGGGGGUAGAAUUCCAGGUGUAGCGGUGAAAUGCGUAGAGAUCUGGAGGAAUACCGGUGGCGAAGGCGGCCCCCUGGACAAAGACUGACGCUCAGGUGCGAAAGCGUGGGGAGCAAACAGGAUUAGAAACCCGUGUAGUCCC
rnacentral:rRNA from 1 species